CAAAAUCAAUACAUCGAAGCAGAAAUAUUUUCUUUUUUUCUGCUGAAAAGCAAAACUAAAAAAAGAGUCAGUGCUUCUGAGUGGAAUUAGAUCUUAAUUACAGCGCAAGGACCGUUUCCCAAAUGGUAUCCUUUGUGCCGUCCUACUAAACAGGACACAGGCACGCUCUCACGUUCAACUCCGCCUCCAUUCCUACCUCAAUGAUGCAGUGGAUGCAGUGGACAACACUCAUGGCAGUGGUGGAAUGACCAAACUGCUUCAAGAGGGAGUUCCGGUUUUCAGGGGAACAUAGGCUGUGCCACAACUUCUGCUUUGGCAAAUUAGAAUGGUGUCACUCGGUUUAAAACGCCUCCUCCACAAUGUACUGGACGGACUGAAUAGUGCAGUGGAAGAAUCUUCCAGAAGUUUUAUUUUCUCACUCUCUUCAAGACCAGUAUGUGGGGGAUCUAGUUUCAGAUGUUCCUUUGAGGCCUGCUGCAUCAUGUUAGCAAAAACUUGACAGGAUGUUGAUAUUACUGCCUCGCUUAAUGAAGUGUUAGGACUGAAGUCUUUCUGAAAUGCUAACACUUCGAACAUUUGAUUGAGUUAGUCUGGACUUUUAUUGUGAAAGGUUUCCCCCAUUUGGUACUAUCCCAUCGGUUAUAAAAGGGGAGCUCAGCUGGCAUCUCAAAGAAGAUGAGCACAAGAACUUUGGUGUGGCUCUUACAGGUCUCACAGCAGAUGAUCUUUCAACAGGACAGUGUCAGGGCUGCUCAGGAUACACAGUCUUUAACCCAACCUAACUCAAACCUAACUGAGCUCUGAGUCCUACCUGUUCUCAUACAGCAUGCAGGUUGAGUGCUGGUGUGUACAAAGUGAGUUGUGAAUGUCUGACUUGUUCGAACGGCUGUGACGUGUGGUUCUCUGAAUGAAAAGCACUCGACUAACUACAGACACCCACCUUCAGGUAUUUUCUGAGCCGGAACUGUCAAGGCCACAGCAACGAGAAAAGGAGAUACAUUUUUUUAUAAUGAUGAUGACGUCCCUGUGCCACCGUAGGCAUCACGUCGUGUGGAACGACGUACGGACAAAGACGCCAGUGAGCCGAAGCACCUCCAGAGGAAAUAACGUCACUGAAGGAGAGGUCAUCAGACAUGGCUUGACAGUAGCCGUCCUCAAGAGUUGGAUGAGCCACAAGGAACGUUACAACAACGCAGGAUUUUGCUGGAGUGCCCUUCGAUUUGGGUGACGCGAGAUGGGAACCACACGACACACUAAAGAACUUCCAAGUCAUGUCACUUGAGUGAACUGGGCUUUUUGCUGGGUCUGUGGAGGAAGUCGUGGGAACAUUCCAUUAGUUUCGUUGUCUUUUUAGUGGUGGGGGGGGGGGGGGGUAUGGUAUGGUAUGUAGUCAUAGGAAUAUCAGGAGGGACCGAGCCAGAAAACAUCCAUUCAGAAAUGGAAAACCACCCCCAUAGUGGAGGGGACUUGAACGUUCUCACCCUCCAUCUCAUUCCGUCAGCCUCCGGGCUGGCCGUGCAGUGCUUGACUAUGAGUGGGCAUCUUUACUGAGAGGGGGCGAAAACAGGGAGACAAAUAUUUAAAUAUGUUCUAUUAAUAAAUGCUGUAUGACACAGCUCAGCUUAUGAAACCGAUUCCAUUGAGAGAGAAAAAACAACAACAACAUAUUGUUAAUGUACCACAUCUA
rnacentral:lncRNA from 1 species